UGAGGAAUAUUGGUCAAUGGGCGCAAGCCUGAACCAGCCACGUCGCGUGAAGGAAGACGGCCCUACGGGUUGUAAACUUCUUUUGUAAGGGAAUAAAGUGUAGUCACGUGUGACUAUUUUGCAUGUACCUUACGAAUAAGGAUCGGCUAACUCCGUG
rnacentral:rRNA from 1 species